rnacentral:rRNA from 1 species
UACGAAGGGGCUAGCGUUGCUCGGAAUUACUGGGCGUAAAGCGCACGUAGGCGGUCUUUUAAGUCGGGGGUGAAAUCCUGGAGCUCAACUCCAGAACUGCCUUCGAUACUGGAAGACUAGAGGCAUGCAGGGGGAGAACGGAAUUCCUGGUGUAGCGGUGAAAUGCGCAGAUAUCGGAAGGAACAUCAGUGGCGAAAGCGACUUCCUGGACCAGUACCGACGUAGGCACGAAAGCGUGGGGGAGCAAAACAGGAUUAGAAACCCC